GUUUCCCAAAUGCCUCCAGGGCUUCUCAGGUCCCUUCCAGGGCUUUCCAAAUCCUUUCCAGGGUUUCCCAAAUCCUUUCCAGGGUUUCCCAAAUCCUUUCUAGGGUUUCCCAAAUCCUCUCCAGAGCUUCCCAAAUCCUUUCCAGGGUUUCCCAAAUCCUUUCCAGGGUUUCCCAAAUCCUUUCUAGGGUUUCCCAAAUCCCUCCAGGCCUUCCCAAAUCUCUCCAGAGCUUCAGCUGCCCAAGUCCCUUCCAGGCCAUCCCAAAUCCCUCCAGGGUUUCCCAAAUCUCUCCAGAGCCUCGCAGGCCCCUUCCAGAGCUUCCCAAAUUCCUACAGAGCUUCUCAGGUCCCUCCCAGAGCAUCCCAAAUCCUUCCAGGGCUUCCCAGGUCCCUCCAGAACUUCCCAGGUUCCUUCCAGAGCCUCGCAGGCCUCUCCAGAGCUUCCCAAAUCCUUUCUAGGGUUUCCCAAAUCCCUUCCAGUCUAGGGGUUUCCCAGGAAUCCCAAUCCCUCCAGACCUCCCCAGCCCAUUCCCCUGUUCUAGGGUCUUCCCCAAAUCCGCCUUCCAGGCCUCCUCAGGUCCCUUCCAGGGCAUCCCAAGUCCCUCCAGACCAUCCCCAGUCCCAUUCCCACCUUGGGUUCCUUUGGGUCCCUUCCCAAACCUUUCAGCCAUCCAGGUCCUUCCAGGCCUUCCCAAGCCCCCUCCACCAGACCAGGUCCCAAACCCCUCAGACCAUCCCAAACCCCUCAGACCAUCCCAAACCCUUUCCAGACACCCUUGGGUCCCUUUCUGACCUUCCCAAACUCCUUCAGACCCAUCCAGGUCCCUUCCAGACCAUUCCGACACCCUGGGUCCCUUUUCCUUCCCACCCCCAUCCCAGGCCCCUUCCUGACCUGCCCCAAACCUCUCCAGACCACCCCAGGUCCCUUCCAGACCAGCUCCCAGGCCCUCUACCUCCCCAGACCUCCCAGCCCCCAGGUCCCUUCCAGACCAGCUCAGGCUCUCUCCAGACGUGCCCAGGUCCCUU
rnacentral:lncRNA from 1 species